UUUAAGUUCUUGUUUGCGUACUUGCUCCCAAACCCUAACCCUAGAUCGAACUUUAUGUGUAACCGAUGCAUGUAUGAAUGGAAUUUUUGAUUUUGGGUCCCUGUUGGGUCGCAUGCUGCUCUAAAUCCUUGUUAUUUUGAGGAAUUGUUGAAAUUAUUUAGAUAGGGAUAAACGAGCAGUUCGAGGGGAUCGAACCUCCCAAUUGGGAGAAAGAUACUUAUCUAGGAAUGUAUCAAAUUUUCUUUUUUUUUAUAGAGGAGGGUGUAAAAUUGAUAUUUUGAUCCUUGGUUGGUUUGAAUUGAUCCUAAUUUGUUGAUUGUUUUGUUAUUCUUUGUAAAUAUUUCUCUUCAUGUGUGUGGAAUAGUUAGGGUAAGGUGUAAUCUAUUUUAGAACUGAUUUUGAAACCCUUUUCCUCUUUUCUUUCCUUUGUAUGUUUUCGAAUUGGAUUCGUAUGGUGCGCGUGCUACACUCUUUUUCCACUACGGAUGAAGCCGAGCAUCCGGAUACUUUAGGCACAUAUUCAAGCUUACUCUCAAAGGCUUCCAACAGAAAUCAUGGAUCACGCAGGUGGUGAUGAUAAUGAAGGAGUGGCUGUCGUAGGAUUCGAAGUCCCGACAUCACCCGAUUCGAGCUACAACAACCCCAUUCCUGGGAACGAAGAUGAAGCCCGCGAGCCACCUCUUGCCCCUCCUCACUUAAACCAAACCUUACUGAGCUUUCCACCGAGCCAAGAUGAUUCGAGCAGUCUCCCAUUGCCGCAGAAUGUGAUCCUCAAUCACCUGUACAUAGAGAAGGAAAGCUCGAGAUCGGUCGUAGCUUUGGGUAUCACCCAUCGUUACCGAUCAAAGUUUGUGACCGUCGUGCUCUAUAAGCCGGUUCAAAGAAGGGGAACAUGACGACGAUUUGGUUGCUUCAUUUUUCCGCUUACUGCUUUCCAUCGCAAUAUUCAGAGGAAUUGAUUGUACUCUUCGGCUGUGGACAAACCAACAGAUUGAAACUUAAAACCUUCAGGCUCGCUCGACCGACCAGUUGGCCUAUUUCAAUCCAUGAAGAGUUUGGUGGACUGGAGAUUCGUCGUCCGGAUGCGGUCUCAGGCAUAUUUGAAUUUUAUAUGUAAGGAGUGUUUUCGGUGAAGUAAUGCUCGAUACGCUCGUGAAGUCGUUUCUGUUCGUUUGGCAGAAUCGCUCUUCUGCAUCAGUUAGACGUCGCCACAUCCUAUCAACGCGACGUCGUAGUCGAGCGAUAUAAGUUGACGAAGAAUCGAACAAGCCCGAAAUUGUUAACUGAGGCAAUGUUUGGUGUUGUAUUUGUUUACCAUUUUUCUACAAGUUUGUUGAGAUUGAAAACA